CAAUAUUAUAAAUAAAUAUUUUAAUAUGUAACUAUAAUUUUUAUGUUAUGCUAUAUAUAAAUAUAGGUAUUUAGUAAUUCCAUGGCAGUAGGCCUCCAAUUUUACAGACAACAAAAUAUUAUUGAUCUUAAGAAUUCAUUGGAAACACAGAAUUUUACACUUAGAAUGAAUGAUUUGUUUGAUGUGUUGAAUAGAAAAUUUCCAGCAGAAGGAAUUAGGCAAAACAGCAAUGAUUUAGAUGUUUUUUUAUGUUGUAUUGUUGCAUGCUUGUGGCAUUUGUGUUAGUUAAACAUUUUAUGAUCACCUAAUUUCCAAGUAUCUAUGUUUGUGUCAAUUUCUUAAUUUCUACUUAUAGAAAUCUGUGUUUAUGUGUUUCAAAUUUGUGUGAUUAAAUACUCUAAGUGUUAAAUACAUAUUGUGUGAGACGAAUGGGAAAAAAAUCUAGAAGAUGGUCUUAUGCAAGAAAAAGAAUUCCUCACUAAAACUACUGCAGAAUCAUUAAGGCUAACACUAAAGUCUACUAUUGAUUUAGUAUUAUUUUUACUAGAAAAUUGUAGCUUUACCUAUGUUUUGACUUCAAAAUUAAACCAAGAUAGUUUAGAAGCUCACUAUAAUUAUAUAUUAUAUUGUAAAUUCUUAAAUGCAAUAAAAAUUUAUUUAUAACA